rnacentral:lncRNA from 1 species
UUUUUUUUUGAGAGAGAGAGAGAGAUAAGUAGCACAUUACCCGCUUUAUUUAUUUCAUUUAGAAAUAAACUUAGCUGAAAAUGUGAAUUAACUAGGAUCCGAACUUGGGACCUCGGGUAUCAACCACCAACUCCUUUACCACUUGUUUUAGGGACGGUCGGUGGUCUCCAUACAAUGUUGUUUGCAUCGACUGGACAAUUUAUGUAAAAAGUAAAAACCCUUUUUAUAUAAUGUAUUAAUUUUAUUUUUAAACCCUUAUUCCUCUCCUUAUAUUCAAAUAAUAUUUUUUUUAGAGUGGAGAAAUUAAUUGUAGUUCCCUCUUAUUAGGAAUAAGAGGGAAUAAGAGUGGAACAACUGUUCCACCUUCCCCUCUGGAACAAGCUUAUUCUCAUUUGAGAACAAGCUUAAUAAAAUUUAAAUCUAAUUUUAAUUAUUAUAUUAACUCAUUAAUUAAUUUAAUUAAUAUAUUUAAGUUAGUAUCUAUUACUUAAAUAGUUAAUUAAUUAAUUAAUUUAAUAUUUAUGAUUAAUUAUCUCAUUAAAAAUUAAUUAUUUAAUGUGUUUAUCUAAUAACUAAUAUUUAUAUUGGUCAACUAAUUAAUAUUUUGACUAAUUAAAUUAAUUUAUUAACUAAUCAUCUAACUAAUUAAAUAAUUUUCUAAUUAAUUAAAAAGUUAAGUAGUAUUUUAUUAAUUAAUUAAUUAAUAUAUUUUUUAUUAUUCUUAUACAAUAUUCUUAGCUAAUAAAAAUUUAUUAAUUUAUUAAAUUAUUUUUAAUAAAUAUUUUUCUGUUAAUUAGUUAGAAAAAAAUAUUUUUAAUCUAAAAUUAUAAUUACUUCUUAUUCCUACUAUUCCAAUCUACUCAUCCAAAUACUAUUUAUCUUAUUAAUUUUCAGGGACAAUUCAACUUUCAUUCAAAUAAAAAAUUAGUCAUAUUCCCGCUUAUUCCAAAAGUUGUACAUAUCCCAGAAAUGAGUAAUUCAUUCUUAU